UGGGGAAUAUUGCACAAUGGGCGGAAGCCUGAUGCAGCAACGCCGCGUGCGGGAUGACGGCCUUCGGGUUGUAAACCGCUUUCGCCUGUGACGAAGCGUGAGUGACGGUAAUGGGUAAAGAAGCACCGGCUAACUACGUGCCAGCAGCCGCGGUGAUACGUAGGGUGCGAGCGUUGUCCGGAUUUAUUGGGCGUAAAGGGCUCGUAGGUGGUUGAUCGCGUCGGAAGUGUAAUCUUGGGGCUUAACCCUGAGCGUGCUUUCGAUACGGGUUGACUUGAGGAAGGUAGGGGAGAAUGGAAUUCCUGGUGGAGCGGUGGAAUGCGCAGAUAUCAGGAGGAACACCAGUGGCGAAGGCGGUUCUCUGGGCCUUUCCUGACGCUGAGGAGCGAAAGCGUGGGGAGCGAACAGGCUUAGAUACCCUGGUAGUCCACGCUGUAAACGGUGGGUACUAGGUGUGGGGUCCAUUCCACGGGUUCCGUGCCGUAGCUAACGCUUUAGGUACCCCGCCUGGGGAGUACGGCCGCAAGGCUAAAACUCAAAGGAAUUGACGGGGUCAUAGCUGUUUCCU
rnacentral:rRNA from 1 species